GAUAUCGCAAGUGCUAAAGCUAACAUAAGUAUAUCUGGUACAAUUUGGAAAAAUCAGUAUGCAUUAAACACAAGCAAUGAAUAUAAAGAAUUAUUAAACAAGUUUUUAAAUCAAUUGCAGAAUGGGUUUUCGUCAGCUUUUUUUACAAAAGGAUUACAGUAUCAAGGAGUUCAAUUUUAUAAUAGGAAUAAUUAUGUUGGCGCAUUGAUAAACUUUUUUUAUCAAAUUCAAGGAGGUGAUCGUAUUGAAAAUUGUAGACAAAUUUCCGAAGUCAAAUUUGGGUCGAAUUUUCCUGUUAAUUUUAUAAAAC
rnacentral:lncRNA from 1 species